rnacentral:rRNA from 1 species
AUAAUGGGUCAGCGACUUAUAUUCUGUAGCAAGGUUAACCGAAUAGGGGAGCCGAAGGGAAACCGAGUCUUAACUGGGCGUUAAGUUGCAGGGUAUAGACCCGAAACCCGGUGAUCUAGCCAUGGGCAGGUUGAAGGUUGGGUAACACUAACUGGAGGACCGAACCGACUAAUGUUGAAAAAUUAGCGGAUGACUUGUGGCUGGGGGUGAAAGGCCAAUCAAACCGGGAGAUAGCUGGUUCUCCCCGAAAGCUAUUUAGGUAGCGCCUCGUGAAUUCAUCUCCGGGGGUAGAGCACUGUUUCGGCAAGGGGGUCAUCCCGACUUACCAACCCGAUGCAAACUGCGAAUACCGGAGAAUGUUAUCACGGGAGACACACGGCGGGUGCUAACGUCCGUCGUGAAGAGGGAAACAACCCAGACCGCCAGCUAAGGUCCCAAAGUCAUGGUUAAGUGGGAAACGAUGUGGGAAGGCCCAGACAGCCAGGAUGUUGGCUUAGAAGCAGCCAUCAUUUAAAGAAAGCGUAAUAGCUCACUGGUCGAGUCGGCCUGCGCGGAAGAUGUAACGGGGCUAAACCAUGCACCGAAGCUGCGGCAGCGACGCUUAUGCGUUGUUGGGUAGGGGAGCGUUCUGUAAGCCUGCGAAGGUGUGCUGUGAGGCAUGCUGGAGGUAUCAGAAGUGCGAAUGCUGACAUAAGUAACGAUAAAGCGGGUGAAAAGCCCGCUCGCCGGAAGACCAAGGGUUCCUGUCCAACGUUAAUCGGGGCAGGGUGAGUCGACCCCUAAGGCGAGGCCGAAAGGCGUAGUCGAUGGGAAACAGGUUAAUAUUCCUGUACUUGGUGUUACUGCGAAGGGGGGACGGAGAAGGCUAUGUUGGCCGGGCGACGGUUGUCCCGGUUUAAGCGUGUAGGCUGGUUUUCCAGGCAAAUCCGGAAAAUCAAGGCUGAGGCGUGAUGACGAGGCACUACGGUGCUGAAGCAACAAAUGCCCUGCUUCCAGGAAAAGCCUCUAAGCAUCAGGUAACAUCAAAUCGUACCCCAAACCGACACAGGUGGUCAGGUAGAGAAUACCAAGGCGCUUGAGAGAACUCGGGUGAAGGAACUAGGCAAAAUGGUGCCGUAACUUCGGGAGAAGGCACGCUGAUAUGUAGGUGAAGUCCCUCGCGGAUGGAGCUGAAAUCAGUCGAAGAUACCAGCUGGCUGCAACUGUUUAUUAAAAACACAGCACUGUGCAAACACGAAAGUGGACGUAUACGGUGUGACGCCUGCCCGGUGCCGGAAGGUUAAUUGAUGGGGUUAGCGCAAGCGAAGCUCUUGAUCGAAGCCCCGGUAAACGGCGGCCGUAACUAUAACGGUCCUAAGGUAGCGAAAUUCCUUGUCGGGUAAGUUCCGACCUGCACGAAUGGCGUAAUGAUGGCCAGGCUGUCUCCACCCGAGACUCAGUGAAAUUGAACUCGCUGUGAAGAUGCAGUGUACCCGCGGCAAGACGGAAAGACCCCGUGAACCUUUACUAUAGCUUGACACUGAACAUUGAGCCUUGAUGUGUAGGAUAGGUGGGAGGCU